UCCAGACCCAACUUAAUAUGCAGUUGGAAGAUAAUCUGAAGUUCUCAUUUUGGAUCUAGUUGAAAGAGAAGCAGUUAGGUCAGGGGUUGAGCAGGAUCUAAAGAAGAAUAAUCAGCGGAUAAAGAAUUUGGUAAAGAAUAAGGAAAAGUCAGAAAGUAAGCUCCAAAGUUGAAAGGUGAAGUUCCGGGUCCAGCCCUGAAGUUAAUGGUUGAAGUUCCAGGUUCGAGCAAGGAUUUAAGUGUUGGGAGUUAAGUCCUUAUAGGGUGCGAGUUCCCUUGCUAGUUCUUACUCAUUUAACUGAACAAACUGAAUGGAAUCCAAUCUAGCGUUCAUUCACUGGCAUUUCCCAUCUAGCGUUCAUUCACUGGCAUUGUAUAGAAGAUGAGUCUGUAAUAGGUUAGUCAAUCCUCUGUAAAUGGUGAAAGAAGAGACGCCCCCACUUUUGUAGAUGAUAAAGGGGCUAACUCAGACCUAGCUAUAGCCUUAAAGCAUCAGUUUUCUUUGAUGUUUAUCAGCAUGCGCGCUGUAUAGGCAUUGCUAAACAUUUCCAAUUGAGCUAGACUUCUGCCCGGGGAAAGCGUCGUACCCCUAAUGGGUGGUGUCCGUGCCUAUCUGAGGAACUUGUCGCUGAGAAAUACCAAACUCAAGUAGUUAUGGGGUUAACAACAGAGGGGUUAAGAAAGGUAGAUUGCAUUGAAUACUGUAAUUCCACUGUCCGCAAGAGUGGUCAACGAUCCCGAAUCUAAUGCAUAAGUAAAGUAAGGUGCUGAAAGCUGUGGGAACUCUCCCGAAGUAGGCACCAAGCAAGGGAAGAGAGUGAGUGACUUACUGACUUCCAUAGGAGUGAAGUUCUCUUCUAGUUCAAUCCUUGAAUACCAUAAUUCCACUGUCCCCUUUCCAGAAUGGCAUGAAGCUUGUGUGUAAAGACGGUGAAGUUAUUCUCGGCAAUGAUUCAAUGCUUUCCUGGCCUGUGUUCAAUGGCAUGAAGUCAGCUUUCCGUAAUAGCAUGGGAAAUUCCUUGAUUCGGGAAGUCAAGGCAUGAAUAAAGCAAUUAAGGAAGCGUGGCUAAUUCCUUAUCUACGGUACGGGAGCACACUUCAUCUUUGAGUUCCCCCCCACUAUGGAUUUCCAAAUCAUCAUCUUUCCUUUCAUCAACAACAUCCAAUUCCAUUGCAGAAAUCAAGAAAUCGAUUCCUUAAGCUUCCCGCUUCUGGCUUCCCUUUUUCCAAAUCCAUAAUUGUAUAUCUGUACCUUGCUUGGGGAGGUAUAUCAAUCUCUUUCCUUUCUUUGCCCCUCGUUCGGGAGAGGGUUUCUCCGCUCUGGUUCACCACCUCAUAUUGAAUAAGCUCCUUUAAUUGUCCCCUAUUUCCAUUUGAACUAUUUAUUCGUUUUUAGUAUAUUAAGGAAUACUAGCAUAUGCUUUCCUUUCUAUCCGGAAAGGAAUCAAGUGAUCAAGUCAGCUUCCUGUAAGAAAGAAAGAAAGUUCAAUUAGAUCCGUAAAGUCGCUUUAUAAUCAAUAGCCUACUUUUGAGAAUCCUAAUCUUCCUACAUGGAGCCGAGAAAACAGGUAAACCCAUCCUGCUCCAUCCCUUAUGCCAGCCUACAUGACUUCUCAAGAAUUGAAUGCUUCCCAUGGCAAUACUGUCCAGAUAAUAGGUUGCAGAGGAGAUAAGGGGAUCCAUCAGGCGAUAGAUAGCAUAUGUUUGUGUAAUAGUACCAUUUGUAAUAGGGCAUGUAUAUGGUUUUGAGUUAAGCACUUAGAGUUCCGGGAAUAAAGAAUAAUGAUUGGAUUUCUGUCCAUCGGGAGAAAGCUUAGGAAAAGAGGCAAUAGGCAAAAGGCAAGACAGCAGGAGAUCAUAGGGUUAUAAUCUAGCAGUUCGUUUUUAGGAGCGCUGUUUUCAUCCAACUACCCAAAUCGUAAGAGUUCCGCCACUUUGACGCCCAAAAGUGCCAUUUCUUUCUUAGUUGAACCAAUUUCCAAAAAGUAAAUACACCAGUUUGAGCUUGACACUUUAGGGUACAACAUCGAAAAAGUAAAUAAACCUCUAUUCUUCUUAUUAUUGUGAGCAUUAAACUAUCAAGAGUCAAAGCUGAAACAAGGCUAAUCGCAAAUCGUGAUGUCUUACUAGAUUCUAAUGGAUACAUACCCUUUGUCCCUCGCUUACUCGGUUGCCACUGUUCUCAAAUCAGUAGUUUCUGUGCGGAUAGAAAUUCCUCUUUGUUGACAGGCUACCCUCUAGAAACCUCACCCCAGGUAAACCGAACCGGGGAAUACCUUCCAUUUUACUUAAUCAGAGUUCCUUCUGUCUUCUGCCUCUCCAAUCAGAUCAACUGGCUUUCACUCCCAGAUUGGCUGCUUUCUUACUUAUUUUAUGCCAACUAAGACAUAUAUCCAAAAGGCAUUCAAGCCUACCCGGGAUGAACUCCCACUCUUCUUGUUUCUUUGUUCCGGUUUCUUUCUUUCAUGGAUUGACUAUUGGAUUAACUAUUCGUCAAGUACCUGAGCUCCUUACUUAUUUCUGUUUCUUUAUCCCUGCCACCAUUGUCUUUCCUGAUAGAAAUAGUUCCAAGCAGUUGCUUUUCUUUUGGAAUGCAUACGGAGAAGCUCACUUUAGUUGUAUAUGGUAUGGCCGCUAAGAAGCAUCAUCGGUCAGAUUGGAUCCAACUUAGUACGUAUGAUGGGUUGAUUUAAGGUCCCGGAUCGAUCACUUAUAGCAUUCAAAGCGGAUUCUAUUCCUCCCUGUUUUGUCAGUCCCACUUAGCACAACUAAAAGAUAAGAUUCUCCACAAGUAUAGUUUUCUAGGAGAGGCUUUCAGCACCUUACUUAUUUCCCUUAAAGGAGCCUACCGGAUAAAAGGCAAUAGGUCUACGAAACAGAAGAAAGGUAUAUAAAUGGAGAAGUUACGAAACAGAAGAAAGGUAUAUAAAUGGAGAAGUAUGGAUUUGACCUGCUAUGCUAAUAGGUGGCGCUAUCAAUAGGGGAGGCCUAUGCUUUGGACGUUCUAAAUAAGGUUCCGGAAAGCUUUACUGAUCCACGGAAGCAUCAUCGAUAAGAGGCAUAGGCUAGUAAUCGAGUGAAACAAUAAAUAGCGGAUUCUUGUAUGGAAGUCCCUAGUCGAUCUCUUCUAGCUGGACUGGCCUCUCUUUACCUCUGCUGAGACUGACUUCGCCCUUAGGGAAAUAUGCGAAAAAAGCAGUUUACUAGCCGCAUAAAGGCAAAGGAGCGAACAGCAUCUUUGGAGAGCUUAGAGCGUCAAGACAAGCCCCGACGUCGGAACUUCACUGAAAGAAAGCAUAGGCGGAAGCUUGAGCUGAUAUAUGCCCAGAGCUUAUUAUAUUCCUAAGUGAGACAUUGGGACACAUAAGUAGCUUAGCGGGAAGAAGCCUCAGUAUGGGGGCGGGCGUUUGAGGCAGAGGAAAAGGGGCUUCCCAUUCUUAGCGGAUUUUCUGAUGGGUGUAAACCUCUUAUCCUGAGAAAGCUUCUAUCUAAAGUGGUUUUUCGGGGGUAAGCUUCUGCUCUCUGUAGCUUACUUCACUUUCCUUACUUCUGUUUUUUCUCUUUCACUUAGAGUUUCGGUCAUGAGACAACCAAAACCCAUUGAAAUGGGCAAGUUUCUUUAAGGAAAUCAGGGGCCAUUUCUAGAUUUCGAUAAUAGGUGCCGGUGCCUAACGUAAUGACAUUCUCCCCCCUUCCAUUCCAUUCCUUCAUCACCUACUGCAGAGGUUUCAUAACCAGAGGCUACGGGAGCUAUUCGAUAGAAUGAAGUUUAUGAUCUAUCUUUUUCAUAGGGAUGAGGGAUUUCCUAAGGCUUAGGCCGGGAUGGAAAAACACUAUGUGGCAACUGAGCGAGGAAUCAAAUAUAGACUGGAAUCAGGUGCUUAUAAGCCUUAUACUGAUAACUAACUCUUCCCCUACUACCGGACAUUCCUUAUUUCCACCUAUUGACUUAGACCAACUAGUGCUAUUUAAACUAUGAGACUUAUAUCAACUAGUUCCAUUCUCUUUCUUUAUGUAAACAUAUCAAUCUGCCUUUCCUGUCCCUCGUUGCUGUUAGCCCACCCCUCUUUGCUUUAAGUCAGGUUUCCUGUCCCGUUACUCACGCCUAUGAGUCUUACUGUUGCUCUCCUCCCCUCUUAUUCUUGAGGAACAGAUCUAGCCUUACAUCGCUUGCUUCAAAACUGACACUACCAAGCUAACCACCCUCCCUUGCUACUAUACUCCUGAUUACAGGCCUUAUUCCUUUGUCUUAGUCUGAGAACUACUUGGUUGACUCUUCAGUUGCUUGUAUUCAUUCAGUUGACUUAUAUGUAUUAUGAAAUGUAUACUUUAUUUCACAGUAAAUAGUUGUUCUCUCAUCAGUUGUAGAUGCAUUGCCAGUUGCUUGUUCAAGUAUUAGAGAUGGUCACUCUAUUCCUUGUUUUUAGCCCAACUCUUCAUUAAAUGUUAGUAAAGCAAGGUCAGCGUCAGCUGCUGGGCUGGCAGUGAAAAAGAAUAAGAGUCAGGGAGGUGAGAAUGAGAUCGAGUAAUGGUAGACUAACCCCGGGAGUUAUGGAUUGAUUGAUUCCUGUCCCUCCGAGAAAGUAUUAGAAGCAUCAAUGAAAGUUUCAGAAAAAGUGAAGGAAGAACGAAACUAACAAGAAAAAGGCUCACAGGUAAGACUCAUAGGCCGGGGGCAGAGGCUAAGGUAUGGUAAAGCAAAGAUCUGGAUUAGGAGAUAUAGAACGAGUUCCGAGAGCUCAGGUCUUGUUUGCCCCGGUUCCUUUAUCGAAUGCCUAGUUAUUAGUUAAAGUACCAUACCUAUAUAUAGUUGUUAAAGCCCUGUGUUCUUUUUUGAAUCUCAUAUGCCCGGGUUCGAUUCUCAAAUAAGUCGUAGGUUGAUUCCCAAGUUAUAUUCUCUGUAUUGGUAGUGAAAGCCUAGCUCCCAGUUUUGAUUCCCAGGGAUUGACUUUUCUAGUGAAAAAGAGACCAACGUCUUGGGGCUAACGUGGGCGUGGGAUCCGCUCAACUACUUGUUUAGGUAAAUAUAGAAUGCCUUCCCCAGGUCAUUUUCUUAGGAGAAACUAUGCGCUUUUCAAAAAAAGGUCGGAAUAAAUCGGGUUGGUUUUCAAUAUAAUAGAAUAGAUAGAAUAUUUCAAUAUAAUAGAAUAGAUAGAAUAUGUUACUAUACCAGAUAGAAUAUGUUACUAUACCUGUAGAUAGAAUAUGUUACUAUACCGGCUUGAUGCAAAAAAAGACAAAACGGGAUUGUAUUUCCACUCAUAAGGAAUGAAGGUUAUCCACCUUUGGCAGGGUUGUAUUUUUGGUUCCAAUGGGAUGGUGUUCAAACUCCCCAAAUGCUGUCUAGACAGCCCCUUUCUGACUCGGCGAAGGGUAACUCUCCUCCGGAGCAUGCUUAACUGCAACUCAUUCGUCCUGACCAAAUUGUAGAAUCUAUCUCUCAGCGAUUCUUUUAUCAGCGAAUCACCACGCCCCGAUCGGCUAAUUCUCGGUUGCUUUAUCGAACAAAGCGGGAUAUCUCUAUUUUCCACCAUUACUGCAGGCGUCGACCAGCAAAGCGAUACGGCACUUACAUAAGAGCACGAAGAAAGAACGCUUACAUAAGAGUAUAUUACCAACCCACCCUUAUGUAGAACCUAUGAACAUGAGUAAAGCGCCUGGAUGCAUAAGGGAAGUGCACGUUUGUGAGACCUUUGUCGGGAUGCAUUAGGGGAGUAAACCUACGAGCACAGAAGAGCGUGGUACCGCUGCCCCUCUAUAAGUAUAAGGUAAUCUGCUUUUCUGAACCCAGCUCGCGCACCCAACAUAGACUUGGAUAUAAUAAACACAGCUUCAUAUCUUUAAACUGAGUCUGAUCCAUUUAAACGGAGUCUGCUCCUUCACUACAUUUCUUUAUCUCCUUCACUACCUUUCUAUCCUUCACUACAUUUCUCUAUUUCUAUAAUAGUUGCCCCGGCGCGCAUCGGUCAGGUCAACCUAGCUCCGGUCGGGACGGACGAUCCCUUAUUUCCAAUUGAGUGGGUGGGAAAGGAAAAACCAAAUGCUUGUCAUGCUAUUCAUUCCUACGGGGAAUCUUCCUUUGCAUUCAUUGAUUCCUUGGAUCAAGGACAUGGGAGGUGUCCGCCAAUUGAAAGUUCAAAGCCCCAGCAUAAUUCUUUGUUCCUUCCCAUUUGCAUCGUAUUGUCCAAGCUCAGAGAGUUGUUCAUUUUAGCCGAUUCUACAAGAUCUAUGGUACGAUUGAUAUCGAAUAUAGUUAACCCCCGUCCAGUCCAAUAGUCAAGGUUUUUCUGCCCCACAUGUGAAAGCCUAUUUAUGUUCCAAUCCGAUCGCUUCCGAACAUAUAUGUGUGGUGAACUGAGCCCCUAUGGACUACAAGGUUCUGGCUGGUCGGGCAGAUAAUGAGUCGCCAAUCCACAUUGGAUCGAUUGCUACUCUUGGAGAAUGGACAGAAAAAGGGUGCUGCUUCGAUUACAAGUAUACAGGGAUUCAAUGAGUGAGUUUUAAAGCAAAGGGAAAGCUGUGUUAGGUAUAGAAAGGAGUCAUAUUCCUACCUUAGAUACUCGGAUAUACAGAUAGAAAUGAGAAAUUCCAUGUAGCAAGCAAUUCUUCAAGUUAAGUUCGAGGAGGACUUGCAGCCGCUCGACGAAAGCUGGAAUCUCAAUUGAUAACUAGAGUAAUAGGAUUGAGCCGCGCGUUAGUCGUUUCCCUGACUUCACUUAAUAAUGAUUCCACAUACUCCUUUGACUUUUGAAUAGAUUACCGACUCCUGUAACUCACUUGAGAAUAGAAUUCCGCCUAGCCCCCGCCCUGUAGAGCCUUCACUUGUAGACUUAGAGAAAUAAGGUUGCUCCGGCCUGUACUUAAUGGAAUUGCCCUUGAGACUUAACCGACGGAGGAGUAUAGUAGGCAUUCGUUCUUAGUAUAAUAGUUGGGCAUAGGUGAUCUUAUAGAUGAAACAAGAACAGCAGCAUAGGUGAUCUUAUAGAUGAAACAAGAACAGCAUUAGCUUUAGAGGGAAUUUCUUCUUAUCCAGCUCCAUAUCCAUCUCGAAGUCAAUCGGGAAAAGAUCUUAGCGCAGAAGAGAAAGGUGACUUGGGGCUGCCUAUAGCUUCUCAAUAAUGGUAAAGUCGGGAGUCAGGCUUCUAUGAAUGUAGUAUAGAACUAGCUUAGCUUUAGCGCAAUGAAGUCACUUUAUUUAAGGUUAUUUAAGGGUUAGGGUUCGGGGCAGAAUAUCUUACCCGCAACUAAAACGAAAAAGGGAGAAUGGCAU
rnacentral:lncRNA from 1 species